CUUAAAAGACAAUAUCCAUUAAAAAAAAUUAUGCCCAUUGGGCCUGAUAAAUUUUAAGAAAACACAAAUUUGGUCUUUUUCAGAAGAGAACCAGGGAAACAGCCCCACCUCCAGACUGCCCGGGGUGACAAAGAUGGCAGCUGAAGGUUUAGAUGGGGUGGGUACAAUCGGACUUGGGAGCUGCCAGGAAUGGGGGUAAUGGAGGGCACGAGGUCUGCAGCCACACUCUCCAGAGGGCAGAGGAGGAGAGGUCCCUUUCAAAAUGAAUCCAAAUCAAUGAUGUGAGACCAGCCUAGCCAGGAGGAAUCCCUGCCCAACUGGCAGUGCAUCUCCACCCUAACAAGACAGAGAAAACUCCAGAAAUGCCACCCUGUACAUUCCUGCGACAGACAAAGCCCCAGGAUUUGGCCAGAGACAGAGAGCAGCUCCACUCACAGCACACCCUAAUUCAUGGUGUGUGUGUGUGUGUAACACUAGGUUGCAAGCUGAUGGGGUGGGGGACGGGUGAGGCUGACCACUGAGGGGUUGGAGUGCCUGUACAGAUGGAAGCUGAAAGGAAGUUCUAAUUAGCACAAAGCCGGCACCUUCCAUUAAUAGCUCUCUGUAGGCUCCUGGAUGCCGCUGAAGAGAGGCAAGUUGGAAUGUGUGAGGCUCACCUGUCCCCGGCUCAUUAACAAACCUUGGGUGAGAACAGGGCUGUCCUGGCAGAAGACCAGCCCAAAUCAGCUCCACCCCCCACCCCCCAAAAAAUGUAAUUACAGGUCUGACUUCUGGGCCCAUCCGAGGGAAAAGUGUUAACGCCCAGGUUCAAUGUGACCCUAAACAUGGAAUCUCUGGACAUUCACUCUGUCAGGCCUCUGAGGACAGUGCUCCCUCCAGACUUGAAAUAAAACCUUAAAAAAGAGUCCUAGCAUACAUUUCCAUGUCUGUGAAACUCUAGACAUGUCAAACUAAUCCAGGUAAGAGACAUCAGAAGGGAGGUGAGCAGGGUUUGAUUGAGAAGGGGCAGGAGGGAAGCUUUUGGAAGGGAAGGAGAUGCUGUCUGUCUGAGCGUUGGCUACAUGGGUGUAACUGCACUUGUCAGAACCCAAACAACUACACACCUAUGAUCUAUUUCUAUAUGUAAAUCAUACUUUGAAUAAUACAUAUGCAGAUGUAUUACAUAUUGCGGCUUCUAUCACACAAAUAUACAUACAAAGGUCUCAGCCCCUCACUGAUUUCUCCAUAGCCGGUGAUCUCCCCAUGUGAAGGUUCGUUCACACCCUUUUCAAGGGUCACAGUGGAGAAAGGGGCCAGAGCAGAUGGGGAAAUGGGCUGUGCACAUCUCACAAACACAUGGCCUCGGCUGGCCGGGUAGGGAGAAGGAAUGUCUGAAUUGAAUCAAUUAGCUGCAGAAAACUUCAGAAAAGAAGUAAGGCCCUUCAUAAAAACAAAGCCCACUCCUUAAUCCCCAAAGGCAAUCCUCUCCCCCAUUCCCAUGGCUAUUCCUCAGUAAACAAAGAAAUCCCUCCUUCCACAUCCACACCUCAAUAUUCAUUAUGAGCUGACGUUAGAGGCUGCAUUCCAGCCUCCCAGAGCGCCCUAAUGACUGGAAACCUAAGUAAGGGCAGACGACUUGCAGGGCUUUCCUUCGGUUUCUCUCCACCUCUCCAUGCCUCUCCCCUUCCCAAAGCAGUCUGUUCUUUCUUCCUUCCUCUCUCUCCCUCUUUCUCUCCUUUUCUUCAAAUUAACGAAUAAGGAAAGCAAGGCAAGCAAAUCAAGGCAGAGACAUCACUAACUCUACUUUGUUCAUUUAUUUUGACAAGUGCAGUUUAAUUUUAAUUAUUUAUGAUAAUACUUCAUAGUAGAAGAGUAAAUGUGCUGGGGUAUAUUUGGUAACAUUAAUGAAGUCUGCCUAAUAGGAACCUUCACUCCAGCACCCCGCCUGGAGAGCUGCCUGCUGGAGAAGUAGGGUGAGGCCACUGGCCUGUGGUAGGGUUUGCAAUUUUUUUGUGGGGGUGGGGGACUUAAUGGGUUUGAGGAUUAGCAAAGGGAAAAUUAACCUGAUUCUAGAGAAGAGGCAAAUACGCAAGCCCAUAAUCGUGUGUCGAUGUGGAUUGUGUGUAUUUAAACACCGAGAGAGCACACUUUGUGAUAAGGAGGCCCAGGCGUGCACACAUGCCACAUGCAUAUUUACACAUGAAUCUCAAAUGUGCAAAUCAGCAGAGGCCUAAAGAAAUUAGGCUCUGGGCAAUUAAAAAUUGAAAUAAAAAAUGGAAAAUGUGAUACACAGAGUUCUAUAUCUCUUCAAAGUACCUUUCUCCUACUUAUGUGCCUCAAGUGGGCAAACAUGGUGAAAAAUGUGGAGGAUCAUAAAAAGGUAGGGGGUUUCUUUAGCUGAUUACUUAGAAAUGCUCCCUUCAACACACAAUGAACCAUGAAAAACGGGUCUCAGUCAAUGCAACGUCAUUUUAAAUGGGACUGAUAUUUUUUUUAUAGCUCCCACUCAACCCUGCCACCAUCCUUAACAUAACUGAUGGUCAUAUAAGUGUGUGAUUUGAUAACGCAGACCUUAUAUACAAGAAUACAUAUACUAUAUACAGAAACAUGUAAUCACUUGCCCCCAACACAUAGAUAUUUGGUAUACCUCAAGAUACACACUCCAAAGUAUUUACACGAGUAUUUCCUACAAUAAUGAUAGACUUGUCAUGAUACAAUUAAUGCUUAAUUUUUAAAUGUAGAGAAAUAGCUGACCCUUGCUCUUAAAAUAAAUAAAAAGAACCUCAAGACCUCCCUGCUCCUCAUCUCUACCUUGUUGCCAAUGCCCAGGGUGAUUUAGGAACAUUUCGGGAGAUAGGAGAGGGUUAUCUUGAGACCAACUGCACUAUUAGCUAGCCGAUUACUGGAUGAUUCCAGUGGGGGAAAAGCAAGGUCACUUCACGACUAGAGUGUGUCAAAGGUUCAGAGAAGAGGGAUCCCUGGACACCACCAUGUGUGUGUGAGAGAGACAGCGUUAGGAGAACCUGCCUGCACCCAUGAAGUCCCUUGGAACAACUCCCUACCCUCCAAGCGGUGGAAUGUGUUGGCCAUCAGGAAGCGAUCAUCAGCUGGAGGCACCUGGCUCCCAGCUUUCUCGAAUGGCCCCAAGCUCCUCAAGCCUUUCCCCUUAAAGCUGUGGCCUGGCUCUGGCGUGGGAAAGGCAGUUUGGAGCUUUUCACAAAUCCAGUAUCCCCUUGAACCAAAACCAAUUAGCCUGGCCCAAGGUCCUGUCAUUGAGGCCCUGGCCCUCUUUUCAAACCCCUGCGGCUCAAUUGCGGUGAGGGGCCGGCCAGUGAAUGCAGGGACCACUUUAAGUGGUGCUUAAGCCGGACCGGCCUGGAAGGAA
rnacentral:lncRNA from 1 species